rnacentral:siRNA from 1 species
ACGGUACAGAGCUGCCGAUGGU